CAGUCGCCGCGGUAAUACGUAGGUGGCAAGCGUUGUCCGGAAUUAUUGGGCGUAAAGGGCUCGCAGGCGGUUUCUUAAGUCUGAUGUGAAAGCCCCCGGCUCAACCGGGGAGGGUCAUUGGAAACUGGGGAACUUGAGUGCAGAAGAGGAGAGUGGAAUUCCACGUGUAGCGGUGAAAUGCGUAGAGAUGUGGAGGAACACCAGUGGCGAAGGCGACUCUCUGGUCUGUAACUGACGCUGAGGAGCGAAAGCGUGGGGAGCGAACAGGAUUAGAUACCCCAGUAGUCCCUGUCUCUUAUAC
rnacentral:rRNA from 1 species